CCGAUGGAGGGGGAUAACACUGGAAACGGUAGCUAAUACCGCAUAACGUCGCAAGACCAAAGAGGGGGACCUUCGGGCCUCUUGCCAUCGGAUGUGCCCAGAUGGGAUUAGCUAGUAGGUGGGGUAACGGCUCACCUAGGCGACGAUCCCUAGCUGGUCUGAGAGGAUGACCAGCCACACUGGAACUGAGACACGGUCCAG
rnacentral:rRNA from 1 species